UACGGGGGGGGCAAGCGUUGUUCGGAAUUACUGGGCGUAAAGGGCUCGUAGGCGGCCAACUAAGUCGGAUGUGAAAUCCCCAGGCUCAACUUGGGAACUGCAUCCGAUACUGGAUGGCUUGAAUUCGGGAGAGGGAUGCAGAAUUCCAGGUGUAGCGGUGAAAUGCGUAGAUAUCAGGAAGAACACCCGUGGCGAAGGCGGCUCUCUGGGACGGUACUGACGCUGAGACGCGAAAGCGUGGGGAGCAAACAGG
rnacentral:rRNA from 1 species